AACGAACGCUGGCGGCAUGCCUAACACAUGCAAGUCGAACGAGACCUUCGGGUCUUGUGUCGCACGGGUUCGUAACGCGUGGGAACCUUACCUUAGGUUCGGAAUACCUCCCCGACAGGGGUACUAAUACCGGAUAAUAUCUACGAACCAAAGAUUUAUCGCCUUUGGAUGUUCCCUCGUUGAAUUAGCUAGUUGGUAAGGUAACAGCCUACCAAGGCGCCGAUCCAUAGCUUGUCAGAGAGGGUGAUCAGCCAGACUGGGAGUGAGACACGGCCGAGACUCUGAGGGUAGGCAGCAGUAGGGAAUCUUACGCGAUGGGGGAGAGCGUGAUGGAGCAACGCGGCGGGAGUGAUGAAGGUGUUCGGAUGGGAAAGCUAUGUUAUUAGGGGAGAACAAAAGUGUAAGUAACUGUGCAGGUCUUGACGGUACCGAAUGAGAAAGCCACGGCUAACUACGUG
rnacentral:rRNA from 1 species